UGAGGACCUUGCAGGCCGGCGAAUAAUAUGGUGCCAUAGAGUGAUAGAUGGGUAUAUGUAUCUGGUAAAGAGAAACAAUGUGCAUCCAAUGUGAUACUAGUGCUUAAAAUGAUGCUGUAUAUCUACUGACUGUUUAAACUUAGUUUAUAAGUCUGGUAUCUGUCUUAUAAAAAUAUUUCUUCUUAUAAAAUUAUCAUAUUAAAUGUUUUAAACAUUCCAUUUAUUCAAAAUUGUAGAUCAUUAAUGCACUGUACAUAUAUAUCAAUAUCAUAUACAUCCACUAAAUAUCGUUACAUGUCAAUCUGUGUGUCUACUGAAUAAUUUACUCAGGGGCUGGACCUUCUCACCCUCACUGUGAUACUGUAAACACACUGUAAUACUGUAAACACACUGAUCUCUGAUAUUGUUUCAUUUUUCAUAAUUAUUGAUUUAAAAGAGAAUGGAAUAAUUAUUUCCAUGACAUGAAUAUUAGGAAAAAGAUAGAAGAAUUUUUAUACAGUAUUGCAAAUAUAAAAUAUCAUAUUGUUUUAAAAUACUUAGUAAACUAAUCUUCAAACCU
rnacentral:misc_RNA from 1 species